GAUUAUAUGAGUCUCAUAAACUUGGCUGGGAAUGUCUAUGGCAAAUAUUAGACAUCUGGAUUAAAAAGGUGUGUAGCUGUUCAGCGGUAAUUAGGAAGAAGAAUGAGGGAAACAGAGAUCAGACUCUCUCUUCCUUCUUGUUCAGCAACCUUAUCUGUGCCCUGUGCUACAUACCAGAUAAGGAGGGCUACACUUGGCAUCUGGACCUGAGAGGAUGUGGAAACGGAAAUCAGAAAAGGCCUUGAAGAUGAUCAUAUCUCCCCAUCAGAGCUGACCUGAAACUUAA